rnacentral:rRNA from 1 species
UACGUAGAAGACUAGUGUUAUUCAUCUUUAAUAGGUUUAAAGGGUACCUAGACGGUAUAAUUAGUCUUUAACAGGAAACGGUUAUACUAGAGUUAUAUAUGAGGAGGUGAGUAUUUGUGGAGUAGAGUUGAAAUUCUUUGAUACCAUGAAGACAGGUAAAGGCGAAAGCAACCUUUUAUCUAAUAACUGACGUUGAGGGACGAAGGCUCGGGUCGCGAACAGG